rnacentral:tRNA from 1 species
GGCGAGGUAGCUCAGCUGGUCAGAGCGCAGCACUCAUAAUGCUGAGGUCGGGGAUUCGAGCUCCCCCCUCGCUACAA